GUUAGGAAUAUUCGUCAAUGGGGGGAACCCUGAACGAGCAAUGCCGCGUGAGCGAUGAAGGCCCUAUGGGUCGUAAAGCUCUGUUGUGAAGGAAGAACAUAUUUGAUAGGGAAUGAUCAAAUACUGACGGUACUUCACCAGAAAGCCCCGGCUAACUACGUGCCAGCAGCCGCGGUAAUACGUAGGGGGCGAGCGUUAUCCGGAUUUAUUGGGCGUAAAGCGUGCGUAGGCGGUUUAUUAAGUAUAAGAUUAAAGCCCGAGGCUCAACCUCGGAUCGUCUUAUAAACUGGUAGACUUGAGUGUGGUAGAGGCAAGUGGAAUUUCUAGUGUAGCGGUUAAAUGCGUAGAUAUUAGAAGGAACACCAGUGGCGAAGGCGGCUUGCUGGGCCAUUACUGACGCUGAUGCACGAAAGCGUGGGGAGCAAAUAGGA
rnacentral:rRNA from 1 species